AACGAACGCUGGCGGCAGGCUUAACACAUGCAAGUCGAACGCCCCGCAAGGGGAGUGGCAGACGGGUGAGUAACGCGUGGGAACAUACCCUUUUCUACGGAAUAGCUCUGGGAAACUGGAAUUAAUACCGUAUACGCCCUACGGGGGAAAGAUUUAUCGGGGAAGGAUUGGCCCGCGUUGGAUUAACUAGUUGGUGGGGUAAAGGCCUACCAAGGCGACGAUCCAUAGCUGGUCUGAGAGGAUGAUCAGCCACAUUGGGACUGAGACACGGCCCAAACUCCUACGGGAGGCAGCAGUGGGGAAUAUUGGACAAUGGGCGCAAGCCUGAUCCAGCCAUGCCGCGUGAGUGAUGAAGGCCUUAGGGUUGUAAAGCUCUUUCACCGAUGAAGAUAAUGACGGUAGUCGGAGAAGAAGCCCCGGCUAACUUCGUG
rnacentral:rRNA from 1 species